ACCCAGGUGGACACAUCUUAUAGGAAUUUCAUUAUAUUCCAUAGUUUUCUUACUACCUUCAUUAAUGCAAACUAUUUUCCUCUAUGCUGCCUAACAACAGUCAGCGAAGUAAGGAAACGUGUUUUCUUAUUGGUCAGAAAAUAAAAAAGACCGCGCCCACCCUGAGAGAGUAACAUUUUUCGGAGGGAUUACGUGAAGACAAAAACAAUAAUUACUAGCGCAGAUUCAAAGUAAAGAAAUAGCUUCAUAGCAGUAGUUGCUACUGUAGUUCUAAAGAAGGGAACUUGUAAGUUGUGGAUUCUCUUGUUAUAGAAGACUUUGGUUAUGUUCUGAUUAUUGAAGUCUCGGCUGGGUUUUUAUGACACUGGAACUCUUCCCUGCGCGGAGGAUGGCGAGCCACUCAAGACUGAAUCGCCUCGGAGGAAACCCUUCCGUGUGCAUCUUCUGAUUUCAAGUGUGGUAGGACUGAUAGUUAACCACGCAAUUGAUUGAAUCUUCUUUCUUUUUUUUGAAUUCUCCAACCGGAUACAAUACACUUGAUUGAAACAACGGUUGGAUUCCUCAUCUGGACUAUUCUAUUUUUUUGUUUGAACUUUGUUGCAGUUGCGAAACCAUAACUUUUAUGGGUGCACCCUGUUCUUUUGGGACUGUUGGUUAAUAGCUCAUUAAUAACUGGAAAAUACCAGAACACACAUACACUGAUAUAUAGCACAGAACCAACUUUAUUUUGGGUUAUUGAGCAUUAUGAAUGUAAAUGAUUGAGAAUACAUUUUAUGUUCUACUUA